rnacentral:rRNA from 1 species
UACGUAGGGUGCGAGCGUUAAUCGGAAUUACUGGGCGUAAAGCGUGCGCAGGCGGUUCGCCAAGUCAGGUGUGAAAUCCCCGGGCUUAACCUGGGAAUUGCGCUUGAAACUAGCGGGCUUGAGUGCGGCAGAGGGGGGUGGAAUUCCACGGUGUAGCAGUGAAAUGCGUAGAGAUGUGGAGGAACACCGAUGGCGAAGGCAGCCCCCUGGGUCGACACUGACGCUCAUGCACGAAAGCGUGGGGAGCAAACAGG